GUCUAUCUUCGGGGCUGGGUGAAAUUCCCGACCGGCGGUAAUAAGCUUUUGCUUUAAGCCCGCGAGCCGCAAUUUGGCAGGAUUUGGUGCGAUUCCAAAGCCGACAGUAUAGUCUGGAUGGGAGAAGAUGGAG
rfam:Bacillus sp. B-jedd genome assembly, contig: CONTIG000001